CCUACGGGUGGCUGCAGUGAGGAAUAUUGGUCAAUGGACGAGAGUCUGAACCAGCCAAGUAGCGUGAAGGAUGACUGCCCUAUGGGUUGUAAGCUUCUUUUAUAAGGGAAUAAAACGUUCCACGUGUGGGUUUUUGUAUGUACCAUAUGAAUAAGGAUCGGCUAACUCCGUGCCAGCAGCCGCGGUAAUACGGAGGAUCCGAGCGUUAUCCGGAUUUAUUGGGUUUAAAGGGAGCGUAGAUGGAUUGUUAAGUCAGUUGUGAAAGUUUGCGGCUCAACCGUAAAAUUGCAUUUGAUACUGGCAGUCUUGAGUACAGUAGAGGUAGGCGGAAUUCGUGGUGUAGCGGUGAAAUGCUUAGAUAGCACGAAGAACACCGAUUGCGAAGGCAGCUCACUGGACUGCAACUGACACUGAGGCUCGAAAGUGUGGGUAUCAAACAGGAUUAGAUACCCGGGUAGUC
rnacentral:rRNA from 1 species